AGCUCUUUAGUUUACUAAAAAUAUUUGCUUGUGGUGCGAGAGAGAUUGGAGCUU
rnacentral:tRNA from 1 species